rnacentral:rRNA from 1 species
CCCAAAAAAGAAGGUGGGAUGGGUUUUAGAGAUUUGCACUAUUUUAACCAAGCUUUGCUAGCGAAAUAGUGCUGGCGUUUGUUGAAUGACCCAGAUUAUCUUUGCACCUAGGUCCUAAGAGCGAAGUAUUACCCUGAUGGGGACUUGUUGAACACAACUCUGAUAAAAGGUGCAUCUUUUACAUGGCAGAGUAUCAUGCAAGGACUGAAAAUGUUUAAGAGAGGGUCUAUUUGGAGACCAAGGAAUGGAGAAUCAAUAAAUAUUUGGCCUGAUUAGUGGAAUCCUUCAAGUCAUGAUAGGAAGAUAAUGACACCAAGAGGGCAAUGCAUACUUCGUGUGCAAGAACUUAUAGAUCCAUCAACUGGAGACUGGGAUGAAGAGCUAUUGCGGGAUAUUUUCUGGCCAGUGGACGUCGAAAAGAUCUUGCAUAUCCCACUUCCGUCACAUGGACAUCCGGAUUUUAUUGCCUGGCAGUUUACAAAUUCUGGCCGUUUCACGAUGAAAUCU